GAGUCGGACGCUCGUCAUUGGCAUGUAAUGGCCUCCACAAAGGACUCCAACAGGUUCUCUCUCUCCCUCUCUCUCUCUCCAUGGCUUCUCCUGCUCUUCUUCGUCUUCUUCUUCUUUUCUUUACGGUCGCUUCUCCUUCCUUGUGUUGUAGGGCUUCGGGAGAGAGAGAAACCGGCGACCCUUCGAAGGGGAUGAUCACCCUGGCAUCGGUGAGGGAUUCUCUAAUCAGGCAGGAGGACACCAUCGUGUUCAGUCUCAUAGAGAGGGCCAGGUUCCCGUACAACGCCCCGGUGUACGACCCUUCGUUCCUGGGGUCAGGCCAGUCCCUUGUCGAGCUUUUCGUUAGAGAGUCCGAGGCUCUUCAUGCCAAGGUCCCUUUCCCUAGUUUCUUUUUGCCUUUUUUCUUUCUUUCCCCUGUUUAUUCUAUGUUCUGGAAUUAAUUGGAUCCUGAUAAAAAUCUGCUAAUAUUAGAUGUUAUUAGUCUAUAUAAUUUUAGCUGGUGACAGGUCCGAUUUGUGCAUAAACCUAUCCCACUCUCAAGGAAUUGGUUUUUUGUGAUUGGACCUUUGGUGUUUACACUAUAUCCUUGAGAGGGAAAAAGAAAAAAAAAUGGUCUCAAGGAAUUGGUUAUUUGGGUCUUAUCAUUAUUUUCUCUGCUGCGACUGAUGGGACUGUAACAGAAUGAUUUAUUGGAAGAUUUGAUCAUACUUCUAAAAGACAAGAAGCAUAUGGAGUUCGGUCUUUGUCAUGUCUUGAUGAUCCCUUUAGAUCAAUUUAGAUCUUAGGAACUAUCAUUCUACCACCACUAUGAAGGGGAAUGUUUGACUAGUUAUGAAGGGUUGCUUAGAUGUUCAAAAAUAUUAUAAUAAUAGCACACCUUAAGCAUCCAUUUGUAGUUUCAUACACUGGGAAGCAGCAGGUUGGCAGCUAGCUCAGUUGAGAACAAGAGUUUGAGUUGGAAGAACAUGAGAGAUUAGACAGAUAUGCAAACACCCACUCCCAACUAAAGUACGUUCGUCAUGUAAUUGUGAUACCUAUCUAUGGAUGUUAUAAAACAGUCUGCCUCUGAUGAAAUAACUCGUGGAGCCCCAGGCCCAA
rnacentral:lncRNA from 1 species